rnacentral:rRNA from 1 species
GUCCACGCCUAACGUUGGGCACUAGGUGUGGGAGGUAUUGACCCUUCCGUGCCGCAGCUAACGCGAUAAGUGCCCGCCUGGGAGUACGGCCGCAAGGCUAAACUCAAGGAAUUGACGGGCCCGCACAAGCAGCGGAGCGUGUGGUUCAAUUCGAUGAUACGCGAAGAACCUUACCAGGGUUUGACAUGCUGGUGGUACCUGACCGAAGGAAGGGACCCUUCGGGAGCCAGUGCAGGUGUUGCAUGGCUGUCGU